CAUCUACUCCCUCCGUCCGGAAAUACUUGUCCUUGAAAUGGUUGUAUCUAGACUUAUUUUAGUUAUAGAUACAUCCAUUUACAACUAUUUUGAAGAAAGUAUUUCCGGACGGAGGGAGUACUAG
rfam:Triticum urartu cultivar G1812 contig621485, whole genome shotgun sequence.